UACAGAGGUCCCAAGCGUUGUUUCGGAUUCAUUGGGCGUAAAGGGUCCGUAGGCGGUUUGUAAGUCAGUGGUGAAAGCCCAUCGCUCAACGGUGGAACGGCCAUUGAUACUGCAAGACUUGAAUUAUUGGGAAGUAACUAGAAUAUGUAGUGUAGCGGUGAAAUGCUUAGAGAUUACAUGGAAUACCAAUUGCGAAGGCAGGUUACUACCAAUAUAUUGACGCUGAUGACGAAAGCGUGGGGAGC
rnacentral:rRNA from 1 species